UUGCAGGAAGUGAGGUAGCGUGCGUGACUUAUGCUGUUCGUUUUGAUUGGUGGGAAAUAAAUAAUAUAUAGUACACGCUUGCGACACACUCAGUAUGUGGAAUUUCCUCAUUUUAAUGUGUUUAAUGCUCGUUACAGCUGCGAAAAGGACACGAAUUUGAGGCUAUGUUUUAACUUAUCAGAAACUGCGACACAGAUGGCGCUGCCGAACGGCCUACUCAAGGCGCAGCUUGGUCACUCUAGGCGCAGCCUUCAUCAAUACACUGUGCUUUGCAUUUCUGCCUUACACAGAUUUUCCAUGUGCUCGAGGUGUCUAUGUGUGUUUGCGUACCUAACAUCAACUGCUGGUGUCGUCUUUGGUAUUUGUCACCUGCCAGCAUUGUGUUGAGUAAACUUGAUUGUGUGCACGUUCCUCAUGGUUCGAUAUAAGUGCGCGGUAACCGGCUGCGCAAGCAGCAGCGAAACUGCAGGGGACUCUCGUUUCAUUCUUUUCUCAUGUCAGCAUACAUUGAUACAGUCAUCUGCUAACUUGUGCGGCACAGAAGCCGUCAAAAGUGUAUCGGACAUGCGCUGUCUGUGUUAUCGUGUCAGCGUGUUGACUGUGUUAUCGUCAUCGGUGCGUUUAUCACUGAGACUGCCCCGCCCCCACCACCUAUAUAAAGACGUGUUAAUAAACCCUGCCCUUCUUCUUGUU